rnacentral:rRNA from 1 species
UACGUAGGGGGCAAGCGUUGUCCGGAAUCAUUGGGCGUAAAGCGCGUGUAGGCGGUCCGGUAAGUCGGCUGUGAAAGUCCAGGGCUCAACCCUGGGAUGCCGGUCGAUACUGCCGGACUAGAGUUCGGAAGAGGCGAGUGGAAUUCCCGGUGUAGCGGUGAAAUGCGCAGAUAUCGGGAAGAACACCAAUUGCGAAGGCAGCUCGCUGGGACGUUACUGACGCUGAGACGCGAAAGCGUGGGGAGCAAACAGGG